AGGGUUGUAGUUAAGUAUAACAUUUGAUUUGCAUUCAAAAAGUACUAGAUAUAGUCUACCUUG
rnacentral:tRNA from 1 species